GACAGAGGGUGCAAACGUUGUUCGGAAUUACUGGGCGUAAAGCGCGCGUAGGCGGCUUUGCAAGUCGGGUGCGAAAUCCCCAGGCUUAACCUGGGAACUGCAUUCGAGACUGCAUUGCUAGAGUAUGGGAGAGGGAAGUGGAAUUUCCGGUGUAGCGGUGAAAUGCGUAGAUAUCGGAAGGAACAUCAGUGGCGAAAGCGACUUCCUGGACCAAUACUGACGCUCAUGUGCGAAAGCGUGGGGAGCAAACAGG
rnacentral:rRNA from 1 species